rnacentral:rRNA from 1 species
CAUGUAGGUGGUCUAUUAAGUCGGACGUGAAAGCUCCUGGCUCAACUGGGAGAGGUCGUUCGAAACUAAUAGACUUGAGGAUGGUAGAGGAGAGCGGAAUUCCAGGUGUAGCGGUGAAAUGCGUAGAUAUCUGGAGGAACACCAGUGGCGAAAGCGGCUCUCUGGCCCAUUCCUGACACUGAGAUGCGAAAGCCAGGGGAGAGAACG